AGUGGAUUAUCUGGGUCAAAUGGUGAUUCCAUUCCAAGUUUUCUGAGGAAUCUUCAUACUGUUUUCCAUAAUGGUUGCACCAAUUUGCAGUCCCACCAGCAAU
rnacentral:pre_miRNA from 1 species